GAUGAACGCUAGCUACAGGCUUAACACAUGCAAGUCGAGGGGAAACGGCAUUUAGUGCUUGCACCGAAUGGACGUCGACCGGCGCACGGGUGAGUAACGCGUAUCCAACCUUCCCAUUACUUUGGAAUAACCUGCCGAAAGGUAGACUAAUACCUUAUGUAAUCCUUUGAUGGCAUCAGAUAAGGAUAAAAGAUUUAUCGGUUAUGGAUGGGGAUGCGUCUGAUUAGCUUGUUGGCGGGGUAACGGCCCACCAAGGCAACGAUCAGUAGGGGUUCUGAGAGGAAGGUCCCCCACAUUGGAACUGAGACACGGUCCAAACUCCUACGGGAGGCAGCAGUGAGGAAUAUUGGUCAAUGGACGAAAGUCUGAACCAGCCAAGUAGCGUGCAGGAUGACGGCCCUAUGGGUUGUAAACUGCUUUUGUAUGGGGAUAAAGUCAAUCACGUGUGAUUGUUUGCAGGUACCAUACGAAUAAGGACCGGCUAAUUCCGUGCCAGCAGCCGCGGUAAUACGGAAGGUUCGGGCGUUAUCCGGAUUUAUUGGGUUUAAAGGGAGCGUAGGCCGGAGAUUAAGUGUGUUGUGAAAUGUAGACGCUCAACGUCUGACUUGCAGCGCAUACUGGUUUCCUUGAGUACGCACAACGUUGGCGGAAUUCGUCGUGUAGCGGUGAAAUGCUUAGAUAUGACGAAGAACUCCGAUUGCGAAGGCAGCUGACGGGAGCGCAACUGACGCUGAAGCUCGAAGGUGCGGGUAUCGAACAGG
rnacentral:rRNA from 1 species